rnacentral:lncRNA from 1 species
GCACUUCUAACAAAUGUAAAUUAAAAAGCCUGCCUCUUCAAGCAGAAUGUGCUGUGCAUAAAAUGCUUUUACCAAAUAAUUCCAGCACUGCAAUAAUCCAUUUCGUGAUUUAAAAGCCUUGUAAAAACGUCAAAAUGGUUGGUUGGUUCUACCAUCUUUGUGCCAUCUAUUGCACUGAAUAAAUAAAGGGAAACACAAUUUAUUCACUGCUUUGGAAGCUCAACGUUUCUCUCACUGAUGUGUGACAACUAUUAUCAUAUUUAUUGUCAGUAUUACACUCCUAAGCAUGCAGGUGAUGCACUGUGAGUAUUUCAUACUGAUAAAGCCAUCAAUAAUUUCCUACUGGACCUUCUUUGCUCAGUUGAAUCUGCACAGCUGGCUGGGAUAUCUAGAAGUAAGUAAUGAGGGGUUAAGAAAAAAAAAGAGAUAAACCAGGAAAAAUCUGACUGCUGUUAUCUAUUUCAACUUUAAAACAAACAAACAAAAAGUUUGUUGUGUUUUUGGUUUUUUUUUUGGAGGGGGGGGGGGGGGNNNNNNNNNNNNNNNNNNUUCACUGCCAAAUGGGGAUUCAGCAGCCAAGAUGACAAGAUUAGGUAGCAGAGAGCAUUGUCUAUUUCAAAAUAGGCUGCAAAAAUAUCUUGCAGCAGCUAAUACAAACCAUUUACCACCUAAUCUUUCUGACGUGCUUAUACUUUCAAAGGCACCACUGAAAUGAAAGUAAAAUUAAGAAAGGUCCCUCUUCCAGGGCACAGGCUAGUGGAGAAAGCAGCUCUGGAGGGUCCCUGGGGCUUACUUAGUCACAGUGCUCUGAGACACUGAGGUAGAAGCUUUGCUUUUGCAGCCUGACAGCUUUAUGUUUAAUGUUUGUACAGAAUCUUUGAUCUCUUAUUUAUACAUAUUUCUCCAGGACGGAGAAGCAAGCAGAAAUAGAAAUUUUAUUUAUAUAAAUCUUUCCAUAUCCCAGAGGUCAAGAACAACAGCAUUUCAAACAAAGUGGAGGAAUUUAUCUUUGCUUCUUAGUUUGCAGGAGCGAUAUGCAGUCCAGAUCAUGCCUCCGGAUGAAACUCAGGUGUACCAAUAUAGGCCCCUGAUGUUUUCUUGCCAAAUGGAUGUUUUGAUGCACAUUAUGCUUCUCUUCCAAAUAUGUGCUGAAACCCUGAAGAGCUGUGCAGUGGUGUAG